rfam:Hordeum vulgare subsp. vulgare, WGS project CAJW01000000 data, contig: morex_contig_1597966
AUCAUACUCCUUCCGUCCCAAAAUUCUUCUCUUAGGUUUGUCUAGAUAUGAAUGUAUCUAGUCAUGUUAUAGUAUUUUCAUACAUCCAUUUCUAAACACAUCUAAGACAGGAAUUUUGGGACGGAGGGAGUAUAUG